AGCUAAAUUGACCUGGUUAUGGUGUCAAUUAUAUCUAAAUUUAUUAAUAAGUUAUCUAGUUUUUCCUUUUGCAAUUAAGAUUCCUUUUGUUUCGUUUUGCGACUUCUUGGGGCAAAAUUUGUUUUAGAAUACUUAAUCAUCAUCUAUUAAAAUAUUAUAGCACAUGACAUACAUAAGUAUACAGAGUGGUUACUUUGAAUUCCAAUUAACAAAAAAAAUUGACGUCCGUAGUUCAUUGAUACAACACACAAACUAAAAUCAUGACCAUUUGUCCCAACAUAAAUAGGUAUUAUUAAAACCCGGAACACAAAGAGUACCUAUUAGUGUAUGCCCCUGCCGAGAAGACAUAACGGCUGGUGUUGGUGUGAGAAGAGAGAGACAGACCAAAUGGAAGUAGCGGUAUGGAAACAAAAAAUUCUAAUCAAAUUGCGGUUGUGGUUCUUCUCUUUCACUCUAUGUUUUUUCCAUCACUCAUGACAAGUGCGACAAAAAGUGAGAGAGAUCGCGAAUCACAGCGGUCAUCCGGGGUGUUUAUGCGCGGAUCGGCUGCUUUCCAUAUGCAUAUCCAUGUCCAUUCCUUCAACAGCAGAUUUACUAGACAAUUUUUUAACAGAGAACGGAAUAGAUAAGGACCGAAAACUGUAGACGACUAACUAUUUUGGUUCUUUUGUUAUAUGUAUAUUAUCAGCAUC